rnacentral:pre_miRNA from 1 species
GAGUCCGCACGGGUAGGUACCACCGCCUGUCUAUUUCUGCCGUGAAGCAUAAUGCGUUUCGGUUUUGAAGGGUGGCGUAACCGUUGUAACUAU